rnacentral:rRNA from 1 species
GGUUAAGCGACUAAGCGUACACGGUGGAUGCCCUGGCAGUCAGAGGCGAUGAAGGGCGUGCUAAUCUGCGAUAAGCGCCGGUAAGGUGAUAUGAACCGUUAUAACCGGCGAUACCCGAAUGGGGAAACCCAGUGUGAUUCGUCACACUAUCAUUAACUGAAUCCAUAGGUUAAUGAGGCGAACCGGGGGAACUGAAACAUCUAAGUACCCCGAGGAAAAGAAAUCAACCGAGAUUCCCCCAGUAGCGGCGAGCGAACGGGGAGGAGCCCAGAGCCUGAAUCAGCAUGUGUGUUAGUGGAAGCGUCUGGAAAGGCGCGCGAUACAGGGUGACAGCCCCGUACACAAAAGCGCAUAUGCUGUGAGCUCGAUGAGUAGGGCGGGACACGUGGUAUCCUGUCUGAAUAUGGGGGGACCAUCCUCCAAGGCUAAAUACUCCUGACUGACCGAUAGUGAACCAGUACCGUGAGGGAAAGGCGAAAAGAACCCCGGCGAGGGGAGUGAAAAAGAACCUGAAACCGUGUACGUACAAGCAGUGGGAGCCCCACCACUAAGCCAGUGGUGAACUCCACAUACGCAUCCUUUGCUGAGGAGACGGUUAACGGAGCGAAAGCGACGUUCAACCUCAAAAGAAGCAGAGGGGGCUUAGUGGUGGGGUGACUGCGUACCUUUUGUAUAAUGGGUCAGCGACUUAUAUUCUGUAGCAAGGUUAACUGUAUAGGGGAGCCGGAGGGAAACCGAGUCUUAACCGGGCGUUAAGUUGCAGGGUAUAGACCCGAAACCCGGUGAUCUAGCCAUGGGCAGGUUGAAGGUUGGGUAACACUAACUGGAGGACCGAACCGACUAAUGUUGAAAAAUUAGCGGAUGACCUGUGGCUGGGGGUGAAAGGCCAAUCAAACCGGGAGAUAGCUGGUUCUCCCCGAAAGCUAUUUAGGUAGCGCCUCGUGAAUUCAUCUCCGGGGGUAGAGCACUGUUUCGGCUAGGGGGCCAUCCCGGCUUACCAACCCGAUGCAAACUGCGAAUACCGGAGAAUGUUAUCACGGGAGACACACGGCGGGUGCUAAUGUCCGUCGUGAAGAGGGAAACAACCCAGACCGCCAGCUAAGGUCCCAAAGUCAUGGUUAAGUGGGAAACGAUGUGGGAAGGCCCAGACAGCCAGGAUGUUGGCUUAGAAGCAGCCAUCAUUUAAAGAAAGCGUAAUAGCUCACUGGUCGAGUCGGCCUGCGCGGAAGAUGUAACGGGGCUAAACCAUGCACCGAAGCUGCGGCAGCGACACCGUGUGUUGUUGGGUAGGGGAGCGUUCUGUAAGCCUGUGAAGGUGUGCUGUGAGGCAUGCUGGAGGUAUCAGAAGUGCGAAUGCUGACAUAAGUAACGAUAAAGCGGGUGAAAAGCCCGCUCGCCGGAAGACCAAGGGUUCCUGUCCAACGUUAAUCGGGGCAGGGUGAGUCG